rfam:Blastocystis sp. NandII AV274scaffold_22, whole genome shotgun sequence.
GCCUUGGUAGUAUAGUUGGUCAGUACAUCACGUUGUGGCCGUGAUAACCCGUGUUCGAUUCACGGCUAAGGCA